rnacentral:rRNA from 1 species
CCUGGCUCAGGAUGAACGCUAGCGACAGGCCUAACACAUGCAAGUCGAGGGGCAGCGCGGGAGAAGCUUGCUUUCCUGGCGGCGACCGGCGCACGGGUGCGUAACAGGUGUGCAAUCUGUCCAUAGUCGGGGAAUAGCCCAGCGAAAGUUGGAUUAAUGCUCCAUGUGAAUCGAAGCCGCAUGACUUUGAUUUGAAACGUAAGGACUAUGGGUGAGCACGCUUCUGAUUAGAUAGUUGGUGGGGUAACGGCUCACCAAGUCGACGAUCAGUAGGGGUUCUGAGAGGAAGGUCCCCCACAUUGGAACUGAGACACGGUCCAAACUCCUACGGGAGGCAGCAGUGAGGAAUAUUGGUCAAUGGGCGAGAGCCUGAACCAGCCAAGUCGCGUGAAAGGAUGAAGGUUCUAUGGAUUGUAAACUUCUUUUGUCCGAGGGUAAAAAAGGCUACGUGUAGCUUCUUGCAAGUAUCGGACGAAUAAGCAUCGGCUAACUCCGUGCCAGCCGCUGC